GCAGUCUGGAUCCAUUUCCCAGUCAAGUGAAGAGGGUUUCUAUCAACCUGCUGGAUGGAGAAAUCAGAGCUUGUUCUACAUAAUAGUGAGAAUCAGUUUGUUUCUUUGGGUUGCUUUGCUAAAUCUCAUUACAGUAUCAUCAACUUGGGCAAGGGUGAUUGAUGUCAUGGACAGUGAGUCAGGUUCAAGAUUAUUUGGUUUCAUUGGGGCUGGUGCUACGCUAGGGCAACUUUUUGGUUCGUUGUUUGCUGCAAGCAUGGCAUGGCUGGGACCAUUUCUGCUCCUAUUUUCUUCGCUCUUGAUGGAGCUUGCUGCACUGUCAUCAAAAGGAGUCUGCAUUGAUGGAAUUCAUGCUUCAGCUGAACUCUCUCAAACAGAAUUUAAGAUUCAUUCUCAUAACUGCAGGGGAGGAGAAGUUCCUAAUACUCAAGCUGAUGAUGAAAUGUCUUCACUCGUCACUUCGCCUAGAUCACCUAUGCGAUCUCAAAAGUCCAAACCUGAUUUUUUUAUAAUGUUGAAGGUUUCUGGCUGAUCUUCCGAUCACCCUACCUGAAAUACAUAUCUCUGUUUCUUUGGUUAAGUGCAGUUGUCUCAUCUGUAUUUUACUUUCAGAAAGUGACAAUAGUUGCUACUACAAUAUCAAGCCCAACUGCCAGAAGGAGAACAUUUGCACUGAUAAACAGCUUUAUAGCAAUUUUUAUUCUAGCGGGACAGCUCACUUUGACGGGUCAUAUCCUUUCAGUGGCUGGUGUCACACUUGCUAUCUGUGCAUCUCCCUUUGUUGCUGCCUCAAAUUUGGUUGCACUUGCUGUAUGGCCAACUUGGGUUUCUGUGGCUAUCACUGAAACAAUAAGAAAGGUAACCACUUAUGUUUUGACAAGACCUGGAAGGGAGUUAUUAUUCACAGUUGUCUCACAGGAUGAAAAAUACAAAGCAAAGGUCUGUAUAGAUGUUAUUGUACAAAGGCUUGGUGAUGCGACAGCAGCUGGAAUUUACAGGCUCUUGUUCAGCAGCCUUGAGAAGAAAACAUCCAUGAUCACCCUCUAUGCAUUGCCGCUCUGCUUCCUGUGGCUUCUCAUUGCAUUUCAUUUGGGCCGGCUCCAGACGAAUCUUGCCAGGCUUCAGGCUGCUUCUGCCCCGGCCUAUUCCUGAACAUGCAUAUAGGGAUGGAGACCCAAAAAAGGCCUCCCUUCAUCUUUCAUGUUGUUGUUCUCACCGCAAGAUCAAGCAACUAUUUUAGGGUUCCAAGUUUUACUUAACUCGGGGAGCUACUGCAAGUGUCCCUGGACUUGGGGAGGCCCAUUCAGAAUAAGUUAGGCUGUCAUCAAUAGUUAUUUUAUUUACACAUUUUUGAGGGAUUUUCUUUUUGAAAAACUUGCAGGAGCACUGCUUUAUCAUUUAAGUAGGGGAAGCAAAACAGUUCUUUCAUACUUGAUAUUACAUAAAAAUGGUACAUUGAUGCUCAUAAAAGAAAGUACAGAUACACUAAUCAUGAAACUAAAGGAAUCUCAGGCUCACCAGAAGCUACCUUUUGGACCA